UGUGAAUUAAAAAAAGCUGAACUAUGCCAAAAUAUUCAAGAGGAAAACUCAAAUGAAAUGCCUAUCCAUCCAUCCAUCAUACCAAUAAGGGUUUCAUCAUUCUAAAGUAAUGGGAGAAGAAUGACGUGGGAGUUUGGGGAGCUAAGUGAAGAACAUGGAUUUGGGUUAGCAAUAAAAAU